CGGGCUCGGAGCACACUGUGGAAGGCCACCGUUUCCCUGCCGAGGAGGGCCCAGAAGAAAACAGUGCCUAUGAGCAGUUGCUGUCUCACUUGGAAGAAAUCGCUGAGGAAGGCUCAGAGACUCAGGUCCCAGGAUUGGACAUAUCUGCACUCCUGCCCUCUGACCUCAGCCGCUACUUCCGAUAUGAGGGGUCUCUGACUACACCGCCCUGUGCCCAGGGUGUCAUCUGGACUGUGUUUAACCAGACAGUGAUGCUGAGUGCUAAGCAGCUCCACACCCUCUCUGACACCCUGUGGGGACCUGGUGACUCUCGGCUACAGCUGAACUUCCGAGCGACGCAGCCUUUGAAUGGGCGAGUGAUUGAGGCCUCCUUCCCUGCUGGAGUGGACAGCAGUCCUCGGGCUGCUGAGCCAGUCCAGCUGAAUUCCUGCCUGGCUGCUGGUGACAUCCUAGCCCUGGUUUUUGGCCUCCUUUUUGCUAUCACCAGCGUCGCCUUCCUUGUGCAGAUGAGAAGGCAGCACAGAAGGGCAACCAAAGGGGGUGUGAGCUACCGCCCAGCAGAGGUAGCCGAGACUGGAGCCUAGAGGCUGGAUCUUGGAGAAUGUGAGAAGCCAGCCAGAGGCAUCUGAGGGGGAGCCGGUAACUGUUCUGUCCUGCUCAUUAUGCCACUUCCUUUUAACUGCCAAGUAAUUUUUUU
rnacentral:sRNA from 1 species